CCUCUGGUAGGAGGGGGCCUGAGAGGCCUGCAAAUGUUUGGAGGCCUGAGAGCCCUGGAGGCACCCUGCAGACCGUCACCAGCCUGGUCCCUGAGUCACCCACGGGCCUCUGAUGCACCUUCCAGAAUGAAGGCCAUUCUGGCUGCUGAUGCACCCUCCAGAAUGAAGGCGCUCUGCCUGCUGAUGGCCACUGGUGCCCUGAAGGUCACCAGCCCACCAGGAGGGACUGCAAGUGGCCAGAAGCAUUUUCUCUUUGUGCCUGAUUCUUAGUCCCUGUGGGGGCCGACGUGGGUCCUGGGUUCAAACACCCACGGAGGCCUCCUGUUUGCCAGGCUGCUCAAGGAAGAAACGAAUCAAAAGAGAAUGGGAGUGGUGCGGGUCAAGAAGGAACCAAUGACAUCUGACUGCUGGAGGUAAAAAAAGGCCUCGGAAGCCA